GAUCCUGGCUCAGGAAGUCGUAACAAGGUAGACCGGUAGCAUGUGUCUGCUCGCAUGUGAUUCAGAAGCGGGGGACAACAUUUGGAAACAGAUGCUAAUACCGCAUAACAACGUUGUUCGCAUGAACAACGCUUAAAAGAUGGCUUCUCGCUAUCAUUAGCUUGUUGGUGGGGUAACGGCCUACCAAGGCGAUGAUGCAUAGCCGAGUUGAGAGACUGAUCGGCCACAAUGGGACUGAGACACGGCCCAUACUCCUACGGGAGGCAGCAGUAGGGAAUCUUCCACAAUGGGCGCAAGCCUUGAUGGGACCAACACCCGCGGUGAGUGAAAGAAGGGGUUUCCGGCUUCGUAAAAGCUCUUGUUGUUAAAAGAAGAACCACGUAUGAGGAGUAACUUGUUCCAUACGGUGGACGGGUAUUUAACCCAGAAAAGUCACCGGCUUAACUACCGUGCCCAGCAGCCGGCGGUAAUAACGUAGGUGGCAAAGCGUUAUCCGGGAUUUAUUGGGCGUAAAGAGAGUGCAGGCGGUUUUCUAAGUCUGAUGUGAAAGCCUUCGGCUUAACCGGAGAAGUGCAUCGGAAACUGGAUAACUUGAGUGCAGAAGAGGGUAGUGGAACUCCAUGUGUAGCGGUGGAAUGCGUAGAUAUAUGGAAGAACACCAGUGGCGAAGGCGGCUACCUGGUCUGCAACUGACGCUGAGACUCGAAAGCAUGGGUAGCGAACAGGAUUAGAUACCCUGGUAGUCCAUGCCGUAAACGAUGAGUGCUAGGUGUUGGAGGGUUUCCGCCCUUCAGUGCCGGAGCUAACGCAUUAAGCACUCCGCCCUGGGGAGUACGACCGCAAGGGUUGAAACUCCAAAGGAAUUUGACGGGGGGCCCGCAUCAAAACGGUUGGAAGCAUAGUGGGUUUGAAUUUCGAAGACUACGCUGAAGAACCUUACCAGGUCUUGACAUCUUGCGCCAACCCUAGAGAUAGGGCGUUUCCUUCGGGAACGCAAUGACAGGUGGUGCAUGGUCGUCGUCAGCUCGUGUCGUGAGAUGUUGGGUUAAGUCCCGCAACGAGCGCAACCCUUGUUACUAGUUGCCAGCAUUAAGUUGGGCACUCUAGUGAGACUGCCGGUGACAAACCGGAGGAAGGUGGGGACGACGUCAGAUCAUCAUGCCCCUUAUGACCUGGGCUACACACGUGCUACAAUGGACGGUACAACGAGUCGCGAACUCGCGAGGGCAAGCAAAUCUCUUAAAACCGUUCUCAGUUCGGACUGCAGGCUGCAACUCGCCUGCACGAAGUCGGAAUCGCUAGUAAUCGCGGAUCAGCCUGGAGCUGGGAACACGUUACCGGUCGAGUUUCACCCUGGCUCAGGAAGUCGUAACAAGGUAACCGUAGAGUUUGAUCCUGGCUCAG
rnacentral:rRNA from 2 species